AUUAAAGUCCACGCAUUACAUAAAUGAAUAUACUUGGACUUGGGGGACUAUUGUUGCGUGUUGUCACACCUGGCCAACCUACCUGGGACAAUGGCCCACUCAUGGCGAUCCAUGUGGCAUUCCUGCCGAGGUGGCACACAAUGCCAAGGGGGGCUACAUCCGAACUGCUUCGAGCCGAAGUCCAUCUGUCGAGGCUCCUUUUUGUUUGAGGCCCAUUGACCGAGGCCUACGAACCGAAGCCAGGCUGCUGGAACCUGUUCAAAGCAGCUGAGGCCCUCAAGUGAAAAUAUCAUGACAAAUGGCCGAAGCCCCGAAACUGAUGCGCGAGCCUCUGAACCAAAAGGAAACAUCCUCCAUGGUCACUUCUCCCAAGAGAUCGCCUGCACAGAUCUUAUUCGAAUGAUUGAUGGAACGUUUGUCAUAAGUAUAAAGGUCAAGUCUUGUCACUAGCAUGGAGGCCCUGCACAAGCAAUAAAUGCUCCGGAAGCUAGCAAGUCAAGCCCCAUACCUAGGAAAAGAUGCUUGAACUAAAGAGAUGAGACCACGUGCCACUUCAUCCAAGGGCUCCCAUUUCAUAUGUACUACUAUAAAUACUUCCCUUGUGUAAUAUCAAAAGGCUAAUGCAAGAAUCAAUACAAAGAACUACAUUUACUCAA
rnacentral:lncRNA from 1 species